rnacentral:sRNA from 1 species
UUUUCUUCAAGCUGCAAAAGCUUUCAUACUCCCCUUAACAUUUCUGCAAAUGUCCUUUUUGUGCAUGAAAGCAAUGAUGAAAAGGUUGUCCAGGUUUAUGCUGCUGCCUGUCUGACUGCCACAACGAAGGAGAGCAAUAAAAAUUUUCAAUCAGUACAGAAAAAUUCAGUCAUCACUAAAGACGUCCUCCGGAACGAGAAAUGGCAGCGCGUCGAUUCUAUGAAAAUAAGUUAACAAAUUUUCAUAAAAACCACAUCAAAUUAUUUGCUGUUUUUAUGAAAACGGCAAAUUUGUUGCAAAAUUCAAAUGUGCUAAAACGCUCACUCUAAACCCAGGCUUUGCAAAAUCAAAAGAAGAUUGUCGGAAAAAGGAGAAAAUUUUGUGUUUUUUGUUUUAUUAUAACCAAACAAGAAAAUCAAUUUGGAAAACGAAGAAAAUUGUAUAAGCAGCAGCUGCAAGCCAGGAAAAAAAACUUGUGAAGUGUUAAAUUUAUUACAAUACCAAUUGAAAAGAAAUUGAAAAAAAGUCCUUAAAUUUAGUUCUAGUGUUGGGAAAAAAUCUCAAAACAAAGUAGUAAAGAAAAAAUCCAUAACAAAAGAAUUUGGUGUAAUACAAAAUAGAAUUUUACAUAAUUUUAUGGGAUAGCUCAAGAACAACAACAACAACAAGAGCAAAUAGAAGCAAAAGCAGUGGAAGAAGCAGAAAUCCAUAAAGGAAAAUAGAAGCCAGCCAUUUUUGAAAAUCGACAUUAAGGAUAUUUUUGUCGAGGUUUCACUGUGAAUUCCCUUGAGGUAUUUGGGUAUAAAUUGCAUUCCCAUUGUUGUGAGCUAACUUGUGGUGCCUGUGUGUCUACGCAAUGUGAUUAGAAUUCCUGGAGCCAAAAUCCAAAUCCUGCUGAACUGUGUAACGCAGGUUAUGAACUUCAGAUUAUAUAAUAAUAAUAACACAAAGGUUGGGCAGAAUAAUUGCCAACAUAUUCCCAUUGCAGAGAGCAAUGUUUCCCCAGAAAAACCACACUUUAGCCGCCCACAAAGAAGAAAUGCUGAUGUACAGAAACAAUUCAGAAAGAUAUUUGGUCCUUUUUUUGUAUUCAAAUAUGAAUGUGUGGAGGUGAAUGGAUUUCAUUUUUAGAAGCGAGCAUUUUUCCCCCGACGAGUAUGAAACAAACAAACUUGAUUACCAAAAGGAAUUCAUGAAAAUACAAAACAAAACAUAUUGUAACAAAGCUUUUCUGCAGAAAGACAGACGACCAUAUGUCUGAAAGUAGUUGUGGCCAGUAAGGCGCAUGUUUGAGAGCAAUUUGAGUAGCGGCUGCUCUCUCCACUACUUAGCAGAGAGUUAAUGGUAAAAUUCUCACAACUCUGCAAAUAAUGCCGCCCUGUCAAAACAAAACACAUGGCUUUGUUUUGAUUUUUGUUGAGGUAGUACAGCGGCGAGUUCAAUGAUAACAAAAAUCAUAUGUUUUCCACAGUGUUAUUGUAUUUCACCCCAAUACACACAGAGAGUUAGGCGGAGAGAGAGAAAGAGAGAGAGAGAGAGAGAACUCACAUUCAUCAACUCCUACACUAUUACCGUUUUGAAAAGUUGUACAGCUUGUUUUGGUAUUAAACUAAACUGUCUCUUUAGUUCUGCACCACAUAAUCCCCCAUAUGCAUGCAUCUAUAGGCAAAGUAAUGGUGUACUCUGUUACCGGCUUAAGAUGAAGCCGAUUAAUGCCGGAGUGGAUCAGGCCAUAAAUUACCAAUAAUGGGAGUUGUUAUGGAACACAA